rnacentral:rRNA from 1 species
ACGGAGGGUGCAAGCGUUAUCCGGAUUUAUUGGGUUUAAAGGGUCCGUAGGCGGAAUUGCAAGUCAGAGGUGAAAGCCCACAGCUUAACUGUGGAACUGCCUUUGAUACUGCUGUUCUUGAGUAUAGUUGAAGUGGGCGGAAUGUGCGGUGUAGCGGUGAAAUGCAUAGAUAUCGCACAGAACACCUAUUGCGAAGGCAGCUCACUAAACUAUUACUGACGCUCAGGGACGAAAGCGUGGGGAGCAAACAG